rnacentral:lncRNA from 1 species
AAAUAAAACAAAAAGUAAAUAUCUCUGAGGUUACGAGUUAAUCUUGCACUAAACAGAAUUGUAUUUCUUUAAUGAUAUUAGAUGCUUGUAAUUAGCCCUGGGACAUAGCUUAUCUCCAUUUGAGCAAGAUCUAUAUCCUUAGAUCAUAGCUUGUCCCUUCGGAUAUAAACUAUUUUAGGGCUUCAUCUCACAAGUAAAGAAAAAAUAAUAGAUCAAAGCUAGAAACUAUCUGUCUUUCCUCGACAUGCCUUGUAUCCAU